UGGCGGCGUGCCUAAUACAUGCAAGUCGAGCGGACAGAUGGGAGCUUGCUCCCUGAUGUUAGCGGCGGACGGGUGAGUAACACGUGGGUAACCUGCCUGUAAGACUGGGAUAACUCCGGGAAACCGGGGCUAAUACCGGAUGGUUGUUUGAACCGCAUGGUUCAAACAUAAAAGGUGGCUUCGGCUACCACUUACAGAUGGACCCGCGGCGCAUUAGCUAGUUGGUGAGGUAACGGCUCACCAAGGCGACGAUGCGUAGCCGACCUGAGAGGGUGAUCGGCCACACUGGGACUGAGACACGGCCCAGACUCCUACGGGAGGCAGCAGUAGGGAAUCUUCCGCAAUGGACGAAAGUCUGACGGAGCAACGCCGCGUGAGUGAUGAAGGUUUUCGGAUCGUAAAGCUCUGUUGUUAGGGAAGAACAAGUACCGUUCGAAUAGGGCGGUACCUUGACGGUACCUAACCAGAAAGCCACGCA
rnacentral:rRNA from 1 species